rnacentral:rRNA from 1 species
UACGGAGGGUGCAAGCGUUAAUCGGAAUUACUGGGCGUAAGGCGCACGCAGGUGGCUGAGUCAGUCGAUUGUGAAAGCCCUGGGCUUAACCUGGGAAUUGCAGUCGAUACUACUCAGCUAGAGUAUGGGAGAGGGUAGUGGAAUUCCCGGUGUAGCGGUGAAAUGCGUAGAUAUCGGGAGGAACAUCAGUGGCGAAGGCGGCUACCUGGCCCAAUACUGACACUCAGGUGCGACAGCGUGGGGAGCAAACAGG